UUGAAACACCAGUUCUCUUAAUAUAACCGAAGUUAAGCAACGUCGAGCCUGAUCAGUACCUAGAUGGGUGACGGCUAGCGAAUACCUAGUACUGUAAG